AAAACAAAACAAAACCCUAAUGAUUUAUCUACCUCUCAAACUCAAAAACACGAUUCUCUCUCCCUCACUCUCUCAUCUCGUCAUUGUCUCUCUUACUCUCGCUGUUCAUCUUCUGCACCGAUCGUCUCACUCUCUCAUCACACCGAUCGACUCACAGUCUCACUCUCUAGUUUUGCAUCUGCACCGAUCGACUCACAGGUAACCAGGCGCGUGGCCAGACUCAAUGAAGACCGCCUAGAGAGUUUUUGUCAACCAGUCUUUGUGCCUCUUGAGGAGGUUCCGUACAUCUUGUGGCCAUGUUUUGUGAACGUAUAAGGCUUUGUUUUCUCUCCAGAUUAUGAACAAGUUUCAUGUUAACUGUAUAUUGGGCUAAGUCCCUUUUGGCUAUAUCUGUAAUUAAUGUGACGUAAGACUACUACAUUAUGACGUCACGUCCAUGUGUAUAAGGUUUAAAAAUUUACAGUCCCAUAUAUGUCUCUACAGCUCAAUGGAC